UAUUGAUGCUGGCAAACCUGCCUAGAAAAGGAAAGCACUCAGCUGGCACGGCUUUACGUAAAAAAUCAACUCGCCGCAAAUUUUGCGGUGAUGAGUUUUCAUUUAUGUAUAUUGAACUCCCAUAUAUUUGGACACUUUCAGCGUUUUAUGCCGGUGGAUAACUGAGGCACCUAACACCCCUCUCCUUUGGACCCAACCCAGCUUACUUCCUGGGCCUACCGUUAGAUGGGAUAGAUGGUGAAGAUGACGAUCGGUGACUACAUCGAAUUGAGCUUGAUAAAUUGUUACAACUACAACAACAUCAACAACUCAAUUAGCCGAAAAUGCCUAGGUUGAUACAACGAUUGGAGCGUGUGUACUUUGCAUUAGUAAAUAGGUAUCAUAUGUAUACCUGUAUGUUUAGUACCUGCUUAGUUGAUAACUAAGUCAUAGAGAAUUAGCUGCGAAACUCGUUUUUUCGUGAGAGCGCUGCCAAGAUGUGCAUUUUUGAUAGCUUUCGUCAAUGAUGCCACAUCGAAGAGACAUUAAUUGGGUACUUUUUAAACUAAAAUUGGAAAUUUUGCAGUUUCUACACCACCUUUGAGGUAUGCAAACGGCACGUAACCGAAGUUAGUAUUGGGCCUCUAUGGCCCACGUAAACAUGAAUAUAAAACACAAUUUAAAACAAAAUAAACACAAUCAAUGUAAAAUAUGAAAUGAGCAAAAAAAUGUAAAAUAAGAUUUAAAGAAAAUUAUUAGACACUAUAAGAUAAAAAAAAUGAAGGUAAAAGACAAAUUGUAAAUAAAUGUAGAAAAUAUAGCAAUUUUUGCAUAUAACUGCAAAACAAAAAAAUGAAAAUAACGAUUCACAAAGACAAAAAUUCAUUUUUAUAACUUAAAAAAUAGUUAGCAAAAGUAUGUUAGCAAAAUAUCACAAAUAUACUUGCAUAUUUAUAAAAAAUCCAACAAUCAGCUUUCAAUAGCAAUAGCAACAAGUAUGUCAAUUUUUAACGCACUAACUUUAAUAUAUACCUUUUUCGUUUUUAUUUCCCCCUCCCAUUUAACUAUAAAUUCUUCAAAAUAUGCAACUCGCGCCGUUAACGUAAAAACGAACUGUCUUCGUCAGUGCGCCCUACUUCUGGCAACUCGCCAUUUAACCUAUUCGCUGUUCAUUUGCUCAAUAUUGAAACGAGUCAAUGGGCGCGCUCUCGCAUAAAAUGAGAGAGUUACAUGCAUACCUACUUAUCUAUGACUAAGUUUUAAACCGACUAGUGAGAAUCGGACUUGCAAUUCGUCUCGCUAAAUUCUGGCCGAAUUGUAGAACAAUAGAAAAGAUUGAACGCUUAAAUCCUGUUACCUGUCGUUCAAUAUCGCAUACUUAGUUAAAAGCUUUACCUGGAUUUGCGAGCGGGGACAAUUCUGGGAAGGAAGAAAACUGCAUUAAGGAAUUUUCGAGACCUCAUGUUUGACAUACAUACAUACCUACAUAUGUGCUUAUACAUACAUAUGUAUGUAUACUUAUAGUAUAUUAUAUAGUAUAUAAUGCAAUCACGCAUUCAAUUCAUAUUGAUUUGAUACCGAUGGGAAAUAUAAAUUUUUCGAUGGAUUAAUUUAUCGAAAGUAAUUAAAAAAGUUUUCUUUAACCAACAAAUACCAAAUUUAUGUUGAAAUCUGAUGUUGUUCUCAAGCCAAAUGGUAAAGAAAUAAACUCUCACCUUUGAGUCAAUCUCAAAAAGUA